UCUUUGUUAUCAGGCUUCAUUGACAGUUAUUGAUUGUUGAUGAUUUCAUACUCAAACCUUAUUGUUUGUGGUCCUGUUGACAGAUCAUAUCAUGAUGGGGAACACUACAAUAGUGUGCGAUUGAAGAAUGAUGAUGGUUCUGGGCCAGCCAAACCAAUUGUGAUUGAGGAGGAUGAUUCUGUGAAAGAGAAAUACAAGAGUUCAAGUACAUCUGGAAAAAGGGUGUAUGAUCAGGAGUCGGUAAAGUUAGUUUUGUCUGGGACAGGAUGUGCAGAUAUUACUCGAGUUCAUGAUGUGCUGCAACAGGUCCAUGGGGAUACAGAUGCUGCAAUAGAGUUUUUAAUAGCCGAGCAAACUUCCACUGUGGAGGAUGAAGUCAAGUCUUGUGCAGAAAUAGAUGCUAAUGGAGGUGAUGAAGACCUGCUAAUUGGAAGUCCACCCAACAUAAACAAUGCUUCUGAAAGAAAUUCCAUUAAUAUACAGUCAUCUUUAUCUGAAGCUGAGAAGGAUAAACAUGAAGGAGCAAAAGAGACUUGUAGGUAUCAGAAAACUUCUCGAAACAAUCCCUGUUCAUGUGGAUCAAAAAAGAAGCAUAAGGCUUGCUGCAAGGUGGAGAGACAUAAAUUUGAUGCUAAGUCAACUUCUCAGGAAGCCUUAACAAAUAAGGUGAGGAAGAUGAAACUUAGAGGUUCCAAGUCUGAAAUACAAUCAUCUCAAUCAUGUGCGACAGCUGCCAUGGGACCUCCAGAUCUAGGAGCACUCUACAUCUGAUAUUAAAAUGAUAGUGAUUGCCUGAUAGCUGGUUUUCCUUCCUAAGGCAUAGUUGGGUUCAAAGAUUUCGUGUGUUGCUACCAACCCAGACAAAACUGAAAUAUGUUUCCUAUUUCUUUCAUGAGUUGAGAUAUACAUCUUCAACGAGAAGGGGCUUCAAUAAGGGAAUUCAAGAUGAGAGAAAUUAUCUGCAGAUGCUGAUUAAUUGUUUGCAGUAUGGUGUACUUGUCUAUUGAUCUUAAUGCUGAAACCAUUGCAUUUAUGAAUUUCAAGGACAACAACUCAUUAUCAAAUGAAGAAAUGUCACCAUUUUCUAAUUUGUGAUGGUCUAAAUAACCUGAUCUCAAAAUUGUUUAACAGUGACAAAACUAUCCAAGAAAUGAUGUUCAUCACAGAUAGCAGAAAGAUGAAAAUCAGGAUGAUAGUUGCCUUCUCACGAUCAGGUGACAGGUUUGAGUCAAUGCAGGAAAACGGAUGUUAUUUGCAUAUCUGAAUUCUGGUAAGUAUUCUCAAGUCACAAGGGGCUGAGUGAAUGAGAUAAGGGAAUAUCAUAAGAUAUAUAAAAGUAUGGACCAAGAAAAUUUGUGGGCUGAAUAAUUAACUGCCUGGUCUAAACAAGCAGCUGUUUAGUCAGCAGAGUUUUGGCAGGUGUCGAUCCAGGAUUAGUGUGCAGUUUUCGUUGCCUUAUUUUCAUCGUCAGUGAUAAAUUGGAAAUAUCGUCGCUGAAUUUUCUUUUGGGCUGAAUAAGAACUGCCUGGUCCAAUCAAGCAGCUGCUAUAGUCAGCAGAGUUUUGGCAGGUAUAGAUCCAUGAGUAGUGUGCAGUUUUCAUUGCCUUAUUUUUGUCGUCAGUGAUAAAUUGGAAAUAUUGUCACUGAAUUUUAUUUUUUAUUUUUUGUUAGAAUUCCACUCAUAUCCCAACUUGUCAUGCUCAUUCUUAAAACUAUUUUGCAUGAGGAUCCUUACAGAAUGGUCAGGAUUUUUCAAUUACACGUAUCAUGAUAUUGCUAUGAAGGAAAUGUAUUAUUCAGUCACUUUUAUGAUGCAAAAAAAGAGCGACGUGUUUGGUAGUACUGUAGAAGACUUAACUUCAAAGUAAACCACAGAGAAGAGAUCAACAUUGUAGCAUGCAUUACCCUUAUUAUAAUUAUGAAAUUUAUGUCAUUACUUG